rnacentral:tRNA from 2 species
GGUUAUAGCUCAGUGGUAGAGCACUUGUCUGGCAUGCAUGAGGCACUGGGUUCGAUCCUCAGCACCA